rnacentral:lncRNA from 1 species
AGUCGGACUACCCGUGUCGUUUGUUCCAGGAUAUCGCGGACACACGGUAAGUCCCGCGGUGUACGUUUCCGACCUAAGCCAGCCGCCUCUACCCGCGCCGCGUCCGGCAGCCCGAGUAGCCGGGCCGCGAUUCUCCAGCUUUCGGCUGACACGUGGUCGGCUUCCGGUUUAAUUUUGUCGGGUGGCUGGCCAGGUAAAGGUAUUAAAGCUGGAGGAGUAAGUAGGUCGAUUAGCGAUUCCAUCCGCGGAAUGGCCUUCGGGCGGAUAAAGGCCGUGGCUAGCCGGCCCGCUACAGUUUCCUAACUUUUGUUUUAAAGAAGUUUUACCAUCGGCCAGUUGCUAGGCGACGAAAGUGGAAGAAACCGGGACGCCUAAUAAGCCAGCUUUCGACUGGUCGACGUACGGCCGGUACGGCCUUAGUAAAGCGCUGGAGGGGCGGGGGAACUUAUCGUCCGUAGCCGGAUUAAACGACAAAUAUUUAACGGGCCCGAAGAGAGUAGGUGGGGGAAAUAACAGCACCGCCGGGCCGGAAAGUAAAAUAUUUGGCGGGCCUGGAAGUAAGCCCCUCGACUGGCCGUCGGGUACGGGCACCGGCCGAAGAAUCAAACUUUUAAAAAGUAGGACUUAAAAGCUCGACAUUCUUGUCUCGUAUAUUAUUAUGUACGGGUUUAGAAAAAAUGACCGUGUCAAGGACACUAUUGUCUAGAUGGUGCGCCUGUCUCCUAUAGACAAACGCCUGUUUCCUCUAGUAGAAUGUAGUCGAAACGUAAUUGUGUAAGCCGGAUAACUUAUGGCGGUUGGCCUACUUCGGGCGGCAAAAUAACAAACGGCCCAUAUCCAAAAUCCGUUUUUCUUUAUAAAGGAUCCCGUUGAUGGAGAUGGACAAAAGUCGAAUCGGUCUUUUUUCUCGUCUAGGUUUGGCCGGGCGGGACUGGGUCGGACCUAGACCCGUCCGACUUCCGACCUUUCCAUCUGGGAGUGGGAGGGGUGACCGGUUAGCCCCAGUCCCGGCGUCUUCUCCGGCUACGUUUCCCAUUACUCGGGCGGCCUUGAGGCGCGUGACGGUGGUAAAAAUUAGCUAGGCCCGGAGGGUAAACGUACGGUCUUUCGGUUAACGCGACGGACUAAAUAUAUAUAUAAAUAUCGAUGCCGAUAAAGGUGGAGUGGUUGACGUCUUUAUAGCUUCCGCCAUCCGCCGGUAGCCGCCCGGCUGGCUUAACUAGGCUCGGAAUUUGACACGGAAGACGGGCAGAUACCGUUGUCGUUCGAUUUGUAUGGGUGGGCGCACGGAAUUAUAUCGGUCGAUGUCGACAUGGAAUCUAGGCGUAACCGUGGGUGCGCGGUGACGUGGUUAAAACGCGCGUAGCCGAUGUUCGGACCGGACGACGGGUAAACGUACGUCGGAAGGCGACGUUCGGUUCUAAAUGGGAGUUUUUCUAAGCCGGGUGUGGCGUUUCUUACUCCGCCGUCGUUACAGCUAUAACCACCGGGAACGCGGUAGCCUGGAACUAUUUAAGAAAGUUUCGCUUAGGUGUAACCGGAGUAGUAUAGCCUAGCCGCCGAGUUUAAACAAACGACGAUAGAAAAUAUCCACGGAAACUACGGCCGUAACCGACUUUAGCCACCAGUUAAUAACUACUUUUAGAUAAGCCGCUUACUCCAAAAUCUCCAACUAUCUCCGUCGUUCGAUUAUGUUUUACGGUGGUUAUUUUACGCUGUCCGAACGACGUUACCGUAAAUUAAUCUAUUUAAUAUUUAGUGUGUAGUUAAGAGGUCCGGAAAAACCAGCAAUGGGUGGUUAAUUACGGUUGGUUACUUAGCUCUCCAAUUUUAGAAACCUAUAAAAGUAAUAUUCUAUUAAACUUUCGGUCAACCGCCACGAAAUAACGGAAGGAGUAAGUAGUGGUAAUCCGCUAAGCGUAACCGAGUUACACCUACUAUAGGAAUUUUUAAAUUCCAAAAUAGGCUAUUAUCGGCUUACCUAUAAAACCGUAGGUACGAGUACGCGCGUCUCUAAAGAUCGAACCGGUCGAUAGCGGUACGGGGAUUGUCACUUUUGGCCAGUGGAGCGGGGGGCCGUGUUCCCCGCCGGGCGCAUAAUUCUAGGUGUCGGAGUUCGGUUAAAAGUGACACCCCCUUUUAAAGGCAGUUGGAUCCGCCGAAACUGGCCCAGGCCUCUCUGUCCGCUUCCGAAUUAUUAUUAUUAUUAC